CAACGGAAAGCACAAAAUGGAGGUUUGUGAUUAUUUAUGGUUUUAUGUGUUUUUGCUUUUGAAAUUUUCAUCUUAAAAAAUCAGAAUGGAUUAUUGCAAUUGGUUCUGGAGAUUUGUUCCUCCAGAUUAACUGCAAUGCAACAGUUGCAUGAUAAAUGUAUUGAUCUAUUCAAAAUUUUGCUCUUCACAUCUCAGUAAUAGAUUUUAUGCAAGGUUAGUUACAUGUGGUAGGAGAAUGUAGCCGUAAUACUAACUAUUACUCUCUUUAAUCUGUAUUGCAGUGAGUUUACAGGCCUGCUCAACCUCUUCCCAAACUUGAGUAAUUUCUGUGAUUUGCAGCCUAACUGUUAUCUUUGAUUCUUU
rnacentral:misc_RNA from 1 species